rnacentral:rRNA from 1 species
CACGUAGGCACCAAGCGUUGUCCGGAUUUAUUGGGCGUAAAGAGCUCGUAGGCGGUUCGGUAAGUCGGGUGUGAAAACUUUGGGCUUAACCCAAAGCGUGCACUCGAUACUGCCAUGACUAGAGUUCGGUAGGGGAGUGGGGAAUUCCUAGUGUAGCGGUGAAAUGCGCAGACAUUAGGAGGAACACCGGUGGCGAAGGCGCCACUCUGGGCCGAAACUGACGCUGAGGAGCGAAAGCGUGGGUAGCAAACAGG